rnacentral:misc_RNA from 1 species
AUUGUUGCGAUUUCGAGCGGAUACAAAAAGAAAAAUCCGAACGCGGAGGGAUUUUUUUGUUCUUUUUUUGUCAUCUUUCUCUCACAUCACGUAAUAAUGUAGAAAAUUAACAGGGCUCAUUAAUAUUCUGGUGAGAUAUAACACGGUGCGUGAUGAUGCAAAAAUCUGUGUCGAUCGAUUAGGGCGACUGUAAUAUAGAAAGUGGGAGCUUUAGCGGAAGCCGGCAGAAAUACCAGCGCAAGAUGCCUGUGGGCGGUAGGGUUGCUGGCAAGGUCGGCAUAUACAGCACUCUCUACAAUGGACGAAGCCACAGCGGAAUUAACGAAGAGAUUAUUUGGAUUAGCAUAGGAAUGGGUAUAACAAUCGCAAUUCUAAUAACCAUAGCACUGUGCUACAUAGUCAGAGAGAAAUGUCGGAAACGACACGAUGGAUAUUAUGCCUCUUGACGAUCUCUACCUCCGCCCUUGUGGGCGGCACCCUUAACUCCACCGCCAGGAAUACUCGCGAGUCCAACGCCAUCCAAGGGGAGUCCGAAGGCUUAUUACAUCACCGUGUAGUGUAUCGCGAAGUUAAGGAAACUCAACAAACAUCUGCGCGAUGAUAUACGUACGGAACGGGUGAAGCCCGUAACGAAAAAAUCAACAAAGAACGACCCGGUCACGUUUUGCAUAUGAGAAAAAAAAAACAAAAAAUCAUUCAUAACAAUUAGUAAAUAGGGUAUAUAUAAUGCUAG